rnacentral:tRNA from 1 species
GUCCCUGUAAGCGCAAUGGAUAGCGCGUUGGACUUCUAAUCCAAAGGUAGUCGAUUCGAAUCCCACCUGGGAUG